UGAGCAAUCUGCCCUUCUCUUCGGAAUAAGCGUUGGAAACGACGUCUAAUGCCGAAUACGACCUCCUUUCGCAUGAUCGGAGGUGGAAAGCUCCGGCGGAGAAGGAUGAGCUCGCGGCCUAUCAGCUAGUUGGUGUGGUAAUGGCCCACCAAGGCGACGGACGGGUAGCCGGCCUGAGGAGGGUGACCGGCCACACGUGGGACUGAGACACGGCCCAGACCUCCGUACGGGAGCAGCAGGG
rnacentral:rRNA from 1 species